GGCUCUUUCCAUUGUUGACUCUAUCGGAUUGUCUUCUGCUUCUGGCAUUUCUCAGGAUCUGAUGCAACAGCUUCAACUUUUUGUUGUCUGCUGCUCCAGUAAAAGGAUCGGUAUCGACUUGUUUGGUCUGUUCACACUGGACUCCCAUACUUUUCUGAUGGUGAUUGGAACUAUUGUUACAUAUGGAAUAGUUGUGAUCCAGUUUCAACAUGACAAGUCUUUAUCUCCGUUGAAUGUCAGCUCCACCACUGUGUUCUAGAUCUCUGUUGAAUGUCAGCUCCACCACUGUGUUCUAGAUCUUCGUUGAAUGUCAGCUCCACCACUGUGUUCUAGAUCUUCGUUGAAUGUCAGCUCCACCACUGUGUUCUAGAUCUUCGUUGAAUGUCAGCUCCACCACUGUGUUCUAGAUCUCUGUUGAAUGUCAGCUCCACCACUGUGUUCUAGAUCUUCGUUGAAUGUCAGCUCCACCACUGUGUUCUAGACGAUGUCUUCAAGUAGUUCACACCUAGUUCACACAAUCUCCUCAGAGACCAGACUUGGAGACAUGUUUUGUAGAAUACGAAAAAUAUCUUGAUUUAGAAGAAACGUUUCAGUUUGAGAAAUGAAACACAAAAAGGAAUGCAAUCAUAUAUUUGUUUCCAUAAAUGUAGAACUGAAAUUCAUCCAAAUUUAUCUAAUUGAUUUUUUGUUUUCUUGUAUGUUAUAAACCAAGAGCAACUUAAUUUGUAAAUCUAAAUAAAAUUGUGUUAUACAAGUUCUUUAGCAGUGUUACAGAGUAGAGCAUUAUUUAAUAAGCACUGUCUAGUAAUAUAGAAGUGAGAUUUAAUUUAAAAUUUUGACAACGAGCCUUGGCACACUUAACCAAAGGGAUAGGGUUCUUCCUUGAGGCCAUGAAUUGUUCCCUUAAAAAUCCAUCUUUGAUGUUACUCUUUUCUUUUCGACAUUUCUUUCUUAAAAUUCCCACUCCACUUUAUAGACCGUCUCUUCCUUCAAUUCAAUAACGUCGAACCAUAUUUUCAUAACCGUCAGUUCAUAGAAUAGAGAUAAAUAUUAACAAUGUAAUACUACCAAUAAUAAUAUUUAUAUAUUUCCCAACCCUGUAGACGCUGUAGUAUCAUGUCGUCAAUACAAUACAAGGUCAGCAACACUUUGGAUACGUACAGGUCUCUUCUACUGGUAUGGACAGAGAUAGGGUUGUAGUUGUUGAUAGGUUGUAGUUGUUGAUAGGUUGUAGUUCAUAGCCUCUGAUAUUCAUGCAGAAAAUAUAGAAACUGCCUUUUUACAUGUCUGAGUGGACCACUUCGGCAUAAUUAUUAUGAGUUACGAACUGUCGCUGUAGCCUUGUUAUUUAUAUCUUUGACGUUACUCUUUUCUUCUCGACGUUUCAUUCUUAAAAUUCCCACUCCCUUUUAUAGACCGUCUCUUCCUUUCUCCAUUUCUUCCGUUCUCCGUCUUUUCCUUUCUAUUUUAUAUUGUGUAUUAUUAUUCAAAGCGUUUGAUGUAUUUAAAACAGAGUGGAAAUCUAUGACACCCAAACGUUUAGGAUUGAAAUUACAAUGUCUGAGGUAUGUCUCUUGUGUUUGUUUCACGCGGAUACUAAGUCAACCAAUUAAACUCUAGGCAUUGAAUCACUUUGUCACGCAGCUAUUAAACAUACAAGUGUGCAAACAUUGCUUCGCUACAGUUAUCUAGCAAUCAAUAGUGUAAACAAGGACUCGGUUAUGGCCCAGUAAUGGGGCCAGCAAUAUCCAUCUGAAAUCACAGCACUUCUCGGAUUACAUUUUAAAUGAAGUUACAAAAAUGUUUAGUUGUUGAUGAUGAUACAACGAGUUGUAUUGCAUAAUUGCAGAAGUUUAACUUAAGUAAACAUAGGUAAUAUAAGGUCAUAUAAUUCUGUAUUAAUUUGUAUACAUCUUAUUUGUCAAAUAAAUGUUGAAUUUCAGUCAAAUUCGGUUAUUCGGAUUGAAUCCUAAAUAACCUAAACAUAGACCAGUAUAUAUUCCUAUCCUGUCAAUCGAACUAGCCAGUUUUCAAGGCCAAAGCGAUCGCGUCCCGAUGUGGUGUGAUUACCAUUUGUAAAUAAAUUUGCUUUCAGAGAAUUUAAAAAAAAAAUGUAUUCAGCUGUUGGCACAAUAAAUUUGAGUUAACCUGUUUUAUGAUUUCUCUUGUAGAUAAAGUGUAAAAAUUAGAAUGGCUCUAAUAAAUGAUUGGAUAAAUAUGUUCUUGUUUAAAGGGUCAUUUGAAUGUUUAAUUGUUUUUUUAAACAAUUAGUAUUGACUUAUUAGGUUUCAAUAAGUUCCAUCCUGCUUGUUAACAUUUCAACGGGUUAAACUGCUUAAAGCCUGCGUUUUUAUACAGCUUAACUGUACCGUAUUAGAAAAAAUAAUAAUUUAGUAUUCCCUAUUAUAAUGCAAAGAUCUAUGAUAUUAGGAACUAAAAGAAACGAAAGGUUACAAAGACUGUUUGUGUGGAAACACAAACUCAAAAUCGGCC
rnacentral:sRNA from 1 species